ensembl:lncRNA
CUGAGACCUCUUUCAACAAAUUCAAGUGAGAACCUGGAGAGUUUGGGAAGAGAGAAGACUUUGGAACUCCCGGGUUUGCAUUCUCCCAGGACUUUCUGGCCCAGAAAGAGGGUGACUUGGGAGGAGUUACCACAACCACACAGAGAGUGACAGAGGGAGACAGUAGAGGGAGCUUAAGCCAAAAGGUUGAGACAAGAGGUAGCAGUUACAGAAAAGUUGAGGGUGGGAAAGGAGCAACAGACCUUUUUGGGUGGGUAAGAGAGAAAACAAUGGCUCAGGUAAGGGGGCUAAUGUCUCAGUGGAGUCAAAUGUUCACUUCCUUCCUGAAGCCUGGACUGCCUGAUGUGGGUUAGUCUGCUGACUGUGGCGUCUUUCUUCCCCACAUGCUCUGUCUUCUCUACACUUUCCCCAGAGGAGGAGAUCCUGACCCAGUUCCAGAUCGCUCAAUCUGGAGAACAAGUCUCUAUGUUAUAAGAUGCCAUCUAGAAAGGCCCACCUGUCCUAGCACUGAGGGAGACCAGCAGACAGGGAGGCACAGAAGUCUUCAAUCUGGACAGGUGCCUGCCAGUACCCCUGAGUGAGCUCGGAUCCUGAGUGAAGCAGGUCCUGCCUCAGGGUUGUGGUGAAGACACAAUGAAUAUGCAUGGAAGACACAUAAUAUGCAUGGAAGUGCUUUAUACAUUGCCAGAUCCUAUGCAGUCCUGGUGACGUUGAGAACAGCAGAUGAUUGGAAAGAAUAUAAAGAAGUAAAGAACAUAGAUGGAAAAAGGUCUGUUUUGUGAACUUUUCAUCACACCUGAAGCAAGCAUAAGUAGGCAUAAAGCAAGACACCCCAGAGUUUUGCAAGUCUAAUUAAUUUCCUGUUUAUAAAGUGAGUAUACAAAGUUAUGCUAGGGGAAGAGGCUGGCUCCUGGCAUGAACAAGACACAAUUGCAUUCCAAUUGAUACUAUUGAUUCAACUGAAGGAAUAAUGUGUCACUUAGAAGGAAAGAGACCAAUGUGCAUAAUAGGAAAACAUAAUAAUCAGAGGCACAAUUUGAAAGUCAUUAAAGGAAACGUAUUAAUGGGAUUCCUUCCAGCACUGUGCACCAAGGACGUAUACAGUGAUUUAGUGAACUUAUACACCUAAAUGUCUAACUAGUUCUCUUUGCUGUGAUUUGGUAUUUACCAUAAAACUUUCAGAUUAUCAUUUGAAUUCCCUUAAGUCAAUAUGAAUGUGCAGUUCUGUGAUAAUUACUGCUUUUUGUAUUAUAAAAUCAAUAAUUAUUUUGCUUUGUGUGUUGGUUUACUGUCUGUUUGUUAUUGUGGAUUCGCUUUAAUGAUGAGACUGAGCCUCUGUUAGAGCAUGGAGAAAAUCAAGCUUUGGUGUGACAAAGGAGGUGGCAGUCCCUGACAUGCUGUGGCACAACUCAGAGAAUCUGGAAAGAGUACCCAUGGGGGGCAGCACUCAGGCUUCCCUCUGGUAGCAUCCUUUCACCUGACCUGGACCUGCAAUCCACAACAACAAGUUAUGGGAGAAAAAAAAUGAUGUCUUGGCAGGAACAACAAGGACAAGAAGUGUCGUGUGACAAGCUCAUGUGAACCCUCCCCUGCUUGGGCACAGGAUCUUGAUAAUAUUGAACAAACAUUGUCUCAGAGAACAGAAAAUAGAAAAUUACUGAAGACUUUAGCAGUCCCUGAUACGCUCCUUUUACUGGAUUAUUGGAAUACACAAACUUCAAAAGCAUCGCUCAAAGAAAUAAUGUUAGAGAAAUUGCCUUACAGGAAAAACACGAUUUGAAAAGAGAUCCACUUAAUAUUUAUAAAAUGCUAUAUGAAGAAAAAGCAGCUUUCUUAGAUAGUCCUAGGCAUCACUCAAAAUUUUCUGGGACCACAACCAUGUCUUAGGCUACACAAUGCAAUUUUCAAACCAUGUUCUUAAGAGAGACCCUGUAAAACCCUUUGUAGCACAAAAAUUUUCCCCAAAAUGCAAGCAUCACUUCCAUUGCAUAGAAGUCUAAAGAGAAAAAAGGAAAGAAAGAAAGACUGAAGAUAAACCAAAUGGGCCAUUUCCCUGAAUAGGAUGGCUACAGGGAAGAGGCAUUUCUGCACCAGCAGAAGAGAAUGGAACACUACAGGAAGACAAAAGAAGCUCAUCAAAUCUGGGGGUGGGGGAGUGUUACCACGUUUUAUGCCCACCAGGGAAGUCUCCAUGAGCGGAAGAAUGAAGCCAGUUGCUUUGCUGCAGCAGAGGUCCUAGAGCAAAUCAGUGCCUUCUUGCUGCCACAGAAUGUUUCAGACCUCCAUGGGCUGCGUGGGGGUGGUGGGACAAAACUAGAGAAGACUGGAUGACAGCGUUACAGCAAAAACUGAAGACUUCGGGCAGAGUGGUAGGAUGUCCUACCUCCCUGUAAUUAAGGGCCAAAUAAAGCAUGGCCAGGAAGUAUUCGCUGGCAUGAAACUCGCCACUGUUAAACACCUCACAACUACCAGCUUCAGGCACUCCAAAAUUACACCAGGCUGCUCGAAAGUUGUACUAAAAUAGAAGAAAUGUCCUAGACUUAGAUGGAUGAAGAAUUUAAUAGAGAAACAAAACCAGAAUACAUCUGCAUCCUCAAGAGCGUUUUAUGACUUUGUGUUACAUGUGGCAAAUUUUAUCAUCAUUCUCCUUAAAACUGAGCAAUUGAUUGUUAUGGUUCAAAUGGUGAACCUGUUUUUAAUAAAUGAUUGAAUUAACUGUGAGACUACUCAUUAAAAUGAAAUGUUGCAGCUAUCAGUGGAGAAUAUAUUAUAAAACUUUCAGCCAGUAUAUGAGAAACAAAAUGUUUUUAUUUGUACUGUAAAGAAAAAGUAAUUUUGCUGUCCACUCUGUGCUUUUUUAUUGAC